rnacentral:lncRNA from 1 species
GGCCAGCAUGAUCUAAGCCCAGAAAUGCACUGUCAGGACCGCAAGCCACCCUGUGCACGGGAUGGCUGUGACUGAGUCACAUCGUGUUUCCAUCUUACAAACUAAGGGGAGGAAACAACCUCUGUGUUCCAAGGUAGCAGAGGAGGCUUAAGGCCUGGCCCCAGAGCCAAGCUGCCUGAUGUAGACAGCGCCCUUGGCAUCUGGCUUCAUGCAGGUGGUCGACGUACAAAAGGAGUUGAUGGUCAGUAACCUACCCGCCACCCCCUGCCCCCUGCCUGGCACGUCCUAUGACCUAGCAUUGCUUGCAGCUGACAGGAUGAAGCAAAAUGAGCAGCCAAUUGUAAACUACUCUAACAGGAGAUUAGUAGUAACCUACCAUGACAGAAGGCUUUCAAAAGUCUUUGUUGAAUUUUGGGUUUGCAUCUCCAUUUUCAUCCCAUUUCAAUCAUUUGGACUUGAAUAAAUACACAGCCAAAAGCAACCCAGUGCAGUGGGUCUAUAAGGGAUUUGUUGAUCAGCAGAGCACAUUCCAUAGAAACAUUAAAAGCCCAGACAGGACCGAUCACAGACCUCGAUACAGCUGCUCGUGAUUUAAACCAGACAGCAAAACAGAAAGACACCAGCAUCACCAAACGGGAAAUAAAAUUCAGCAAAUGGUGUAAAACCAAAUGUGUAUCUACAUAGCAUGCUUCUCACGGGUGUACAUGCCCAAAUAAAGCCCUGCAUGGGUUGAUCAUCCACAAA